CGAACGCUGGCGGCGUGCUUAACACAUGCAAGUCGAACGGAAAGGCCCCUUUGGGGGUCCUCGAGUGGCGAACGGGUGAGUAACACGUGAGUAACCUGCCCUUGACUUCGGGAUAACUUCAGGAAACUGGGGCUAAUACCGGAUAGGAAUCCUUGCUGCAUGGUGGGGGUUGGAAAGCUUCGGCGGUUUUGGAUGGACUCGCGGCUUAUCAGCUUGUUGGUGGGGUAGUGGCUUACCAAGGCUUUGACGGGUAGCCGGCCUGAGAGGGCGACCGGCCACAUUGGGACUGAGAUACGGCCCAGACUCCUACGGGAGGCAGCGGUGGGGAAUAUUGCACAAUGGGCGGAAGCCUGAUGCAGCAACGCCGCGUGCGGGAUGACGGCCUUCGGGUUGUAAACCGCUUUCAGCAGGGGCGAAGCUUGUGGUGACGGUACCUGCAGAAGAAGCACCGGCUAACUACGUG
rnacentral:rRNA from 1 species